rnacentral:rRNA from 1 species
UACGUAGGGUGCAAGCGUUGUCCGGAAUUAUUGGGCGUAAAGAGCUCGUAGGCGGUCUGUCGCGUCUGCUGUGAAAACUCGGGGCUUAACCCCGGGCCUGCAGUGGGUACGGGCAAACUAGAGUGCGGUAGGGGAGACUGGAAUUCCUGGUGUAGCGGUGAAAUGCGCAGAUAUCAGGAGGAACACCGGUGGCGAAGGCGGGUCUCUGGGCCGUAACUGACGCUGAGGAGCGAAAGCGUGGGGAGCGAACAGG